rnacentral:rRNA from 1 species
GACGAACGCUGGCGGCGCGCCUAACACAUGCAAGUCGAACGAGCGAGAGAGAGCUUGCUUUCUCGAGCGAGUGGCGAACGGGUGAGUAACGCGUGAGGAACCUGCCUCAAAGAGGGGGACAACAGUUGGAAACGACUGCUAAUACCGCAUAAGCCCACGGGUCGGCAUCGACCAGAGGGAAAAGGAGCAAUCCGCUUUGAGAUGGCCUCGCGUCCGAUUAGCUAGUUGGUGAGGUAAUGGCCCACCAAGGCGACGAUCGGUAGCCGGGCUGAGAGGUUGAACGGCCACAUUGGGACUGAGACACGGCCCAGACUCCUACGGGAGGCAGCAGUGGGGAAUAUUGCACAAUGGGGGAAACCCUGAUGCAGCGACGCCGCGUGGAGGAAGAAGGUCUUCGGAUUGUAAACUCCUGUUGUUGGGGAAGAUAAUGACGGUACCCAACAAGGAAGUGACGGCUAACUACGUG